rnacentral:misc_RNA from 1 species
CCUGUAUUCAAAUCAAUUGUAGGAAGAACAAAAGUAUUGACCACUAGCACAGAAUUGAAGCUAUAAUCUGAGACAAUGAUAACACUCUUGCAGCAGCCAAAAUGGCUCUUCAAAUACACAAUAACAUAUAUUACAAGAACUAUGAAGAGAAGCCCAACCAAACAAAAUUGUAUAUAACAUCACAUGCCAUGUAAAGUACUGAAAUGCUUGAGUCAGAUGAAACAUAUUACCCAUGCCUCCCUUCAUCUUCAUUCAUGCUGUAUAUAGUGAUUAGCACUUAAAAAUUACUUAAAUUCUAUAAUAACCAUUUUCUACAAACUUAAGAAAAUGACAAGCUUAGAGAUUUCAUUAAAAAAUAAUUGCCAAGAAUUAUAUAUUACAACAUCAACAUGAUAUGAAUGGACAAUCUCUGAGAGAAAGGACUUAUGUUCAAAAACAAUGAAGGGCAGGCAUAAACUGAACUUGUUGUCCCACUUCUAUAUGCAAUUACAAGAUUCCAACUUGGAACAAAAUGGUUUGGAAAAAAAGAAGGAGCCCUAUUAUUGAAGUAAUAACUGAAGAUUUAGUAUAAAUACAUAUCUAACCUAUAUGAGCUUACCAAAUAUGUGUGAGCUUCUUCUCUGCCCCACUAACAUCAAAAGUGCAUUGGAGUCUUAGCAUCUUUGUCUAUGUACAUAUGUCUUUCAGCAAACUCAAUAGUUGGAAUCCUUUGAUAUACUGUUCAUUUUAUAAUGCAUUACUAAUACAUAUUUGAUAAAUCAAAAUUCUUCAUGUACAUCAUGUUUCAAAUACUUCACAAACUAUGAGCAAGUAACAAAACCAUCUUGCAGCAGUAAUUGGCAACCUUCUUGAUUCAAAGUCUCUCUAACCGCACGAUAAAACUCCACCCAGGACGAUGAAUAAACCUCCACAUUUCCAAAUAAAAAUGUAGGAUUAGGACUGGCUGGGCAAGCAGCCACCAAAUCCAAUACAGAAGCAGCUGGUUUAAGUGGCUGAGGGAAAUUAAAGGCCAAAUUAUCCACUUUAUGUUCAUAAAUUUUGCCAUUUCUAUCCAAUUUAUACCUUGACGUGCCCUGAAAUUGUCCCUUGGCCUCCCAUGGAACCCUUGGCACACCCUUUAAGUUCCACCUAAUCAAUAUUACAUUCUCCGAGGGCUGCCAAAUCCUAUAAACCUCAAGUGAAAUUUCUCUAAACAACAUCUUCCCAUGAAAUCUCAAUGCCCAAAAGAUUAAUUUGUACUUCUCAAUGCCAGCGAAUGUAUUCAAAGGGUCAAGAAAAGUAAUAUCAUCCCUGUAAAUAUCAUAAUUAAGGUCCUUGGUGAACAACAAAGGUAAAUCCUCACGGAGUGUACGUACAGCUAGGCCAAGGUUGACAUAGAAGUCAUCUCUUUGGUGCUGCUGCUCGUCCUGCUCACCUAAUGGGGUCUUAACCUGCGCACCCUGGGGUGGAGAAGGAGAAAGGGAGGUGUUAGUAUUAGAGGGUUUUGUUUUAGUUGAUGAUAUGGUUGUGGAAAUAGCUGUUGUUGAUUGAAAAUGAGUAGAAAGUGUUUGGUUUUGGGCUUGGCAAUUGAUGGGUUUCUCUCUUUCUCUUGGAGAAGAGGAUUUGGAGUUGAGGAGGAGAGAAGGAGAGAGGUUUGGUAGAAGAAAAGCCAUUCUUUUCUCCUUCUUCUUCUUGAAUUGGGUUUAUUGAUUAUUUUUUAGCUUUUUUUCAUUGAGAGAGAUUUUUGAUUUUGAGUGGCUUUGAACGUG